GUGCAUGAGAGCUCGAAGCAGGAAUGUGAAUCUGGGAAAAGGCCCCCUGAUGCUGUGGUGCACGAGGCUGUGGGACGGCAUCCCGAGGAGGUUUCAUAGCCUGGGCCUUUUAAAGUUGGACUGAAGAAAGCAUUAGCAGGGAAUCUGUGCUUCUGCAGGGAGAAAGGGAAGCUCUUUGCACCAGUAGGUGUUUUCCUCGCCAGCCUGAAACUUUUAAUUACUCAGCACAGGUUCACCCUCAGGCACGUUAGAGGAAAAAGAGCGUUUUCAGCCCGAACCCGCAGCUUCCCUGCCUCCCCGAGCUCUCCCCCAUUUGCAAACAAUUGCGAAGGUGGAAGAAUUCAGCGAGCAGAUGUAGCCUGCCCCCCUAGUCCCAUCUGUUCACAUCAGAAAACCACCACGCAAUCUGGCACGGGGAGCGCUCGCCGCUCAAGAUAGACUCUGGCCUGGGCUCGGGAGGGAAGAGGGAAGGGGGGGCCAGGGAGGGGCGGUGGCGGCGGGUCACAGGCGCUGCCAGCGCUGCGUGGGAAGCUUCAGCAGCAUCUGCCAGCACCACCGCUGCCUCAGGUCGGAGCGAGAUCCUCCAGCAAGCUCCUCCUGCAGCCUCUCUGCUCGGCUGGAGCUGCUCCAACCCGCUCGGGAGCCGGCGAGGCAGCGGCGAGGUGAUGGAGCUGCGGUGUGACAGCCACCGGCGCCGGGCAGGGAGCAGAGACAGCUCUGCCAGCCCCUGCUCCUCCCAAGCCUCCUCCUCCGUCUGCAGAAACAGGCUGACAGCGCUCUGCUCCUUCUUGAGGCUGUUUGCAGAGAUGUGGAUCAACGAGGCGUGCAGCUAGCGGCCAGGUAUGCCCCUUUAGGCGAGUGUCCAGGCUACAUUACAGCCCCAAGCCGCCCUCUGCUUCUCCCUACGAUAGAAGUAGAGUAAGAGAAGCACGCACCAAGGUGCAACAUUCAUGAUGAGAAACACACACAGCCUGCAUCGAAGCAAAUAGAGGUGUAACAUCAAUGAAACACUGCAGCGUGGUUCCUCCCCCACUGCCGGCGUAGCUCAGCCCCACACACGUGAGCUCCCCAAAUAUUUAUGGGAAGAGGCAAAGCCACGGUGCUCUUCUCCUACCGAUAGCCGAGAGCGAAGCGCGGAGGGAAGGCUCAGCCUGCACCGAACUCUUGCAGCAAAGGACUGACUCAUUUUCAGAAAAUCAGGCAGGAUCACAGGCGGAAGUAAUAACUGGCCCUCGAAGCUGAGCACUUUAAAACCCUGCUCUUGGUUCACCCUCACGACGGUGAAGGAAGAAGACAGCAAACGACAGGGGAGGACACGGCACAUUCUGUUCGGUUCUAAUCGGCCUCUGAUUUAUGACACAUUUCACUAAAUCUUUAUAAAAAAAAACGCCCACCCUGACAUCUCCGUCGAUGUUUUCUUUCAAACCAACAAAGCAGCGUUUCAAAUUCCUGACCACGUCUUGGUCGGCCAACAGCAGAGCCUCCUUUCCCUACCAACAUGAUUUGUUGUAGCUGAGAGUGGAGUAAAGCCGCGACAGCUGUAAAUCUGCACUCUGCUCCUCCGCGCAGCCCCGCUGCACCUGCAGGUGAGCUUUCGGUUUGAGGCUGAAACAAACAGCCCUCCCUGUAAUGAAUUUAUUGGCUGUCACACGUCCCGACUACUGCAGGGCACUCGAGGCACGGAUGGAGUUAUGAACAAGGGGGGGGGUUAUUACCAAAGCAGCAUAAUGCAAUUUUUUUUAAUGCUGCUUCCACCUAGUCUGUGGCUCCUUUUAAGGCCUCUGCAAUUUUGCCAGGGAAGCCCUGGGCACUGUAACGGUGAGAUCUCUUCUCCUUCCCCUCUCGCCUCCUGCUCCCUAUGUGCUCCAUGUCCAUCUGCACCUGCAGCUGCUGUUCCUGGGCAUGUGUGCUGCAGCACCCCGGGCAGCAUCCCUUAUCCCUCCUGCCCAGUCCUUAAUAAAAAGUCACUCAUUUGAGCUAAAGGAGCGUGGCUGUGUUCAUCCAAACUGUGUGCAACUUUCAGCACACAAGAAAUGCAGGCCUGGUGCUGCCCUCACAGACUUUGGCAGUCCCUGUAACACCAGGAAGAAAGAAUGUGGCAGGAUGGAGAUCCUGGGCCAACUUCUAAGCAGCAGUGCUACCAAGUAAUCAUAGAAUCAGUCACAGAAUGGUUUGGGUUGGAAGGGACCUUAAA